rnacentral:rRNA from 1 species
GCUCAUGAACAAGAGUGCACCCUAUUUUUCAAUCGGUUAAGAGUCUUGGGAUAUUUGAGGUUAAGUGUUCUUGGAUUUGAAUAGUACUGGGUUGGGUGACCUCUUGGGAAGUCCAAAUUCAGGAGCU